ensembl:snRNA U2 U2 spliceosomal RNA
AUCGCUUCUCGGCCUUUUGGCUAAGAUCAAGUGUAAAUCCCCAGCCCCCACACUAUUUCAUACUUUUAUUCUUGUUCAGCCCUUAAUGCGCAUAAUUUAUAAAUUAAACUUUAUCAUAUAUAUGGAUAGGAAAAAAUAUAGUUAUAAGUACUACCCGUGGUUUCAGGAAUCUACUACUAGUCUUGGAACAGCUCCU